ACUCGAAUCAACAAAUUGCGCCGAU
rnacentral:rasiRNA from 1 species